rnacentral:lncRNA from 1 species
GUCACAAUAAAUUCUUAAUAUCUUAAUAUAAGGUAUGGUAAAAUGGUAUUUUGACUUAUUGUAGACAAAUUAAAUUUUGGCACCAUAAAUACUUAAUCCAUCAUAAAAUUAAAGGGGAAAUAAUAAUAAUUUAUAUAAUUAAUCUUUUGGACAAUAAAUCUAAAAAAAAUGGCAAAAAGCUACUAAGAGUGGAUCCACAACCCUAACUAAUUCAAUUUCAUAGUUUUAUUUAAAUUAAGUUGUUUAUAUUUGAGUUUUAUUUUCAAUUUUUAGAUACAAUAAAUUAAAUCUUUUCUCUGUGGAUUGACUUCGAACUCACCAAACUAUAAUACAAUAAGACACUCUUAUACUUGAGAGUUAAAAAUUACUUUUAAAUUGCGUCACUAAAUAGCAAGUUGAAGCCCUCGCAAAUAGCUAUCGGCUCAGCAAAAAGCAUCAACUGGUACCGAAGAAAAUAGCCAAUAGCAGGUAGAACCACAUCCUAAUGAUCAAGCAGGACGCUACUGCAACAAAUAAACGAGGAUUUCCCGAAGAGCAACUAUCCACACUAAGCAUCACCACCCAGGCAGCAUCCUCAACCCAGAAACCGAAUGAACCGACUUGCAGGGAGGCAAGAUAAUCCGCAAACUUUCCCCGAGCUAAGCAUCUAACACAGCUCUCAACUGAGAUGGUUUAAAAACACAAGCAAAACUAGGAAGCUUAAGGUUAGAAACCACCCUAUAAACGAUAACAUCUACAAAAAAGGCAAUAUAAUUAAAUCUAAAGACAUUUCAAGCCUUUCAAAUAUGCCGUAAAAUGAAGCACAAAAGGUGAACCCGAAAAUGCUGGAAAGAAGACAUUCAUCGUUGCCAAAAAGCAAGUAAAAACACCACCACAAUUUUAGGUCAGAAGCCUCAGCCAAAUCCAAGAAAGCACCAAUCCCAUGCUACCCAAGAAAACACACAGAAGGCAAUCUGUAUAGUGAUAUGCCGCCUAGAAUUUGUAUCACCCAAUAAAAAUCUAGUAGACUGCCUUUACAAGUGUUGAAUAUCUGUAGUAGAUGACCUAAAAAUAUGAAAAAAAAUGAAGCUGCAUAAAAGGAAGUACGUGUAGAAUAAGAACUAGUUUACCCACAAAAGAAAGCAAUCGAUUGGCCCACACUGAAAUCCCGUCUAUGACCUUACGAAUCAUAUCAUCAAAAUACCAAAACCGCAGGCAACCCACAAGCAUCAGGCAAGUAAAAGAAAGUUGUUGCUGUUGAAAACUAGUCACCAAAUGAACUAUAGCCUGGCGAGAAGUCGAGGCACGGCUCCUUACAUUUGCUCUUGGGUUGACUGAUUAGCUGACCCGUCUCAUAAUGGUGUAAAAAGCCAUAAGGCACUAAAGUUAAAAUACAAACUAUUA